ensembl:snoRNA SNORD63 Small nucleolar RNA SNORD63
GUGCUGUGAUGUUAACUGUCAACACAUCAUUCUGAAGAAGAAUUGUGUGGAGACUUUCUGUAACUGAGCACC